CAUGAAGGCGAUGACCGCGGCCGGGAAAGUCACAGGGCCGAGCAUGAGGGCGAGGACCGCGGCCGGGAAAGUCACGGGGCCGAGCAUGAGGGUGAUGACCGCGACUCUCAGGGGGCCGGGCUCGAGGGCGAA